rnacentral:lncRNA from 1 species
UCAGCUACCCUAUAGUUGGCUGCCUGGCUUCAGAGCUUUUUUUGAACUUGGAAGACUUCAAGCCCCAACUGAGGAAUCCUUGAUGCUCUGUUGUUUUGUCUUGCUAAAAUGUACAAGAAACUUGCACAGCUCUGUCCUUCAGGCUUAAAAUCAUCCCAGGGAGGUCACUCUAAUUCCUUUUAAUGUGUGCUGAAGAAAGGGCAGCACAGCUGAAGCCUGAUUUAAAAUCUGAUCUUCUCCCUAAUGUCACAAGGACAUCCUGAGACAAUGGCUGAGGAGCUAUGCACCAGUACCCAGCUGGAUCCCUGAUACUUACAUUGGCAGAUGCAUUAUCAACAGAGACAUCGAUUUAGAGUGAAUUAGAGGAAUUACAAAGAUCAAGAUGAAUUCAGUGAAGCUUCCCAUAGGACUGUUCAAAGAUCUCCAGGCCUGCCAUUCAUGCAUUCAUGUGAGAGAGACACUUUGGGCCUAAGAAAUGAAG